GGUUUCCGUAGGUGAACCUGCGGAAGGAUCAUUAUCGAAAAGCAAUCCGGGGGGGAGGCGACCGAGCGAAGUCUGGUAGAUCGUAGGGAUUGUCGCUGGCCUUUGGAAACGAAGGCAUGUGCACGUUCCGAGUUCUCCUUAGUCCUCCUUUGCCUUUCCUUUGGAAAACCCUUUCUUCACACCCGUGCACCCAUUGUAGGUCUCCGCGAGGGGAUCUAUGUCUUCACAUAAACACUACGUAUGUCUAGGAAUGUAUCUAAAAGCGUCGGACGGCUUGGCUUCGUGCCCGGUCGGCGACGGUAAAGAACCAUAAUACAACUUUCAGCAACGGAUCUCUUGGCUCUCGCAUCGAUGAAGAACGCAGCGAAUUGCGAUAAGUAAUGUGAAUUGCAGAUUUUCAGUGAAUCAUCGAAUCUUUGAACGCACCUUGCGCUCCUUGGUAUUCCGAGGAGCAUGCCUGUUUGAGUGUCAUUUAAUUCUCAACCAUCCCUCGAUUCGUUUCGAGGGUUUGGCUUGGAUUUUGGGGGCUGCCGGGCGACCCUAGGGUCUUCGGCUCUCCUUAAAAGCAUUAGCGAUGGCGGCGCGAUCUAACCCCCCCAUGCAUGAACGGCCUUCGACGUGAUAAUGAUCGUCGUGGCUGGAGUGUUGUUAGUGGGUGUCGUGAAAGUCGGCGCUUCUAAAGACCUCGUCGAAAGACGAAAACUCGAAACUUGACCUCAAAUCAGGUAGGACUACCCGCUGAACUUAAGCAUAUCAAUAAGCGGAGGAAAAGAAACUAACAAGGAUUCCCCUAGUAACUGCGAGUGAAGCGGGAUGAGCUCAAAUUUCGAAUCUGGCGGUCUUCAGGCCGUCCGAGUUGUAAUCUAGAGAA
rnacentral:misc_RNA from 1 species